rnacentral:lncRNA from 1 species
AGGGAGAGACAUGUAAGUAUUAACUAAUUAAGUUCUAUAUUUUAAUUUUAUUAUGAAGUUUAGGUUUUUGAUUAUAUUUUUUUUUUCUUAAUUAGGAGCGGAUGAUGCAUAUACGAUCCCAGUCCAUCGCUGAGGGCUCCACCCCAUCCAUAGAUGAUGAUGUCUAUGAUGAGGUAUUUGGUAGGAGAUCUAAUUAUAUUAUAGGGUUGAGAUAUGCGGUUGUGGGUUGAGAUAUGCGGUUGCGGCCCCCAGCUCCUCUAGAGCAUCAUAUGUUUCUUGUGAUGCUCGUCUGUGUGAGGUGGAUGCUCGACUGCGUAAGGCAAAGAGGAG